GCACGUAGUUAGCCGGGGCUUCUUCUGGAGGUACCGUCACCCUCUGGGCUGUUAACCCGAGUGGCUUCGUCCCUCCUGAAAGCGGUUUACAACCCGAAGGCCUUCUUCCCGCACGCGGCGUCGCUGCGUAAGGCUUUCGCCCAUUGCGCAAGAUUCCCCACUGCUGCCUCCCGUAGGAGUCUGGGCCGUGUCUCAGUCCCAGUGUGGCUGAUCGUCCUCUCAGACCAGCUACGGAUCGUCGCCUUGGUGGGCCGUUACCCCGCCAACAAGCUAAUCCGCCGCGGACCCAUCCUCGGCCAGAGGCCGAAGCUACCUUUUCCCGACCUCCCGCAGGAGGAAGGGGCUAUCCGGCAUUAAUCCGGGUUUCCCCGGGCUAUUCCGGUGCCGAGGGCAGGUUAUCCACGUGUUACUCACCCGUUCGCCGCUGUCCCCAGGGCCGAAGCCCUGGUUCUCGCUCGACUUGGCAUGUGUUAGGCGCGCCGCCAGCGUUCGUC
rnacentral:rRNA from 1 species